rnacentral:rRNA from 1 species
UACGUAGGGGGCUAGCGUUGUCCGGAAUUAUUGGGCGUAAAGAGCUUGUAGGCGGUCUGUCGCGUCUGCUGUGAAAAUCCGGGGCUCAACCCCGGACUUGCAGUGGGUACGGGCAGACUAGAGUGUGGUAGGGGAGACUGGAAUUCCUGGUGUAGCGGUGAAAUGCGCAGAUAUCAGGAGGAACACCGAUGGCGAAGGCAGGUCUCUGGGCCACUACUGACGCUGAGAAGCGAAAGCAUGGGGAGCGAACAGG